GAUACAUUGGACAUACUUCGCCUUCACUCUUUCGCCAUUUCUGCAGCUAACUUGUGGACUGAUCAUGCUAUCAACCGCAAAGCUAAAUCCAUCGAAUACAAAUUGUGGGAACCUUUCUACUUAAACCCAGGCAUUAUCCAGUUUCAGUCUUAAUAUCUGCGAAGUUUAAAGCUCACUAAUGUUAUCCUAGUCACAUGUAUCUUUCACCGGCUCAACCAUGCAUGCCCAUCAUUAGAAAAUCUGCAGUUUGGAGAUAGCACUCUUGAAUUACCUGAGAUUUCAUCAAGGUCAUUGAAGACUCUGGAAAUAAUAGACUGCUCAGUUUCAAAGCAUCUUCUGAUUCGUACGCACAAACUGGUGUCGCUACGCUUUGACGGCUCUCGAUGCAAAUGCACUUCCAAGUCCAUAUUGCUAACGCCAUCAGCAGUAACUCUAUGUGAUCUUUCAAAUGUCGAGAGCAUAGAAUUAUCAGCUUCAGUGAGACAGGUUGCAUUUGAUGGAGUAUCUACAGGGCGCUCAAUGUUCAUCAAUCUAAGAAGUCUCUCUCUUGGAGAAUGGUGUCUUUCUAACAACUUAUCUCCCUUAGUUUCUUUCUCCGGCACUCUCCUUUGCUUGAGAAGCUUAACCUGAAGCUUAAGUUAGAUUGUGAGAAGGACGAACAAACGAUUCAAACAGCCAAGGGAAUAUCAUUUGCUGCUGAGCACCUUGAGAAGGUAACAAUCUACUGCACCGAAGGGGAUGCAAGGGUUCCCGUGCUGGUGAAUAUCUUGAGCAGUAACGCAAGAUCUCUCGACCGAAUCGAUGUCAAGACAUACUAAAUGUGUGUGUGUUCUGUUGCUGUAUGGAAACUCAUUUGAAUGUUUGUCCAAUUGGUGAUCCACUGGACUAAGAAUAGUGGACCAAGUACGGAAAACAGUGAAUGCCUAAACAUAAGACCUGCAUCAGAGAAGUUGAGUUCUUUCUAUGAAAAAUAAUAUUAUUCAUGCAUGCUAAAUUGCCCAAUAGAAA